GCGCACCAGGCGCGAAACUUCACACUGUGCGAAAGCACGAUGAGGGAAUCCCAAGUGCUUGCACGUAAGUGUAAGCUGUUUCUCUGUUUAAAACGCAGAGAGAGUAAGGGCUGGGUAAGACGGGUGCCAGCCGCCGCGGUAAUACCUGCAGCCCAAGUGGUGACCGUUAUUAUUGGGCCUAAAACGUCCGUAGCCGGUUUAAUAAAUGCCUGGGUAAAUCGUGUAGCUUAACUAUACGAAUUCCGGGUAGACUGUUAAACUCGAGACCGGGGAGAAGUUAGAGGUACUCCUGGGGUAGAGGUGAAAUUCUGUAAUCCUAGGGGGACCACCAGUGGCGAAGGCGUCUAACUAGAACGGGUCUGACGGUGAGGGACGAAGCCCUGGGGCGCAAACGGGAUUAGAUACCCGCGUAGU
rnacentral:rRNA from 1 species